rnacentral:lncRNA from 1 species
CUGGGAUUUUGUCUUUUAAGAGCAGCCUGGUCCUGUCUGCUGCAGAGCCUUUUGUCUCGCUAACCUGGAUCCUGACGGGCGCGACAAAAGGUUCUGCGGCUGCGCUGGGGAGACCUCGGCCCUGAGCACUGGCACAGUGCCUGAGGAGGCCUUUACCAGGGCUCUGGGGUUUGGGGGGGUUCCUUCUGACGUGUUUUCUAAGUUCCUUCUGUCCUGAACAAUGAAUUGGUCGGGACAAGCUCAGAAGACAGCUAGGCUCUACAUCCAUUCAAGGCAGGAAAAUAAACUUGCUGCACAGGGUGAGGACAGACCACUGGGAAAGAGAGCCUCUCUCUGGCUGGUGUCAGGUCGAGGCCUAUCAGAAACCUGCUCAAGUUCUCGCGAGAAGACUUGAAGCGAGCGCUCUGAUUGGCCCCAGGCGUGGGGCUUUGGGAACCGUUUUGCCACCGUUCCUGAAGUUUCUGUUGAACCGUCCCACCCACUUUUCCCGCGGCUUCGUCGCACCUUAAUCUCUUGCCUCAGACUCGCUCUGGGUCUGUGGCUUCUGGGAGCCCGCUGAGGGGUCUGGGCGGCGCUCUCACCUGUCCAGCACAGGUUCGUCCUGCCCAGUGCUCACAGCCCCAAACCUGAGCCCGUUCAGCAGGCUCCUCCGCUUCCACCCGAUGGACGGAGCUCUUCGCUGCUUCCGGUUCUCCCGGCACCGUUAGUAGACAUCAGAAGAGAGAAGACUACAAGUGUAGGUUGGGCCGCUUGUAAAGGCCAGGCAGCCAAGGCAAAAUGACAUCCUCCCGGGCAAGGUCGUCACUCUGAGGAGAGUCAUUGUCCCCACCUCCGUCGCACGUUGGAAGCAGAGGCAGCCCAGAGUCCGAGCCGGGGGUUUCUGAGUCGCCUCAAGCUCUGCCCCACGAGGACAGGAAACCUUUGCCAGGACCUCACCUUACAGAAUCUCACCUUUCCUGCUUUGGUGGAGAAACUACCACAAAGCAAGGAACCAAGAGAGGCUUCCAACCACAGCCAGUAGGACAUUGGAACCAUCAUCCCAGCAGCCUUGAGGAACAGACUCCUCCAAAAGUGCAGACAUAACAUGGAUGCAUGUUCUUCUCCACUAGACCCUUCAGAUGAAGCCCCUUGGCUGCACUUCCUGAAGGGCUCUAAAGCAGGAAAAGUAGCUGGAUCUUGCCUGGAUUCCUAACUCGUCAAAACUUUGAGAUAAUAAAUGUAUGUAUUUUUAAGCCACUAAAUUUUAAAGUACUCAUUACAACACAUAAGAUAACUAAUACAUCCCUAAAUCCCUGUAACUUUGGUAUAAGAUAUAGUAGACCAGGAACCAAGCUCACCUUCCUCAAAUACGGUAGCAGAGUGUCUGACAACAUCCCUGAACACAUUGCCCUCAUGUUUGAAGACUGUUCCUUAUACUUCAAAAAUAAAAUGUGUCGCUGAGUCACGCGAAAGACGCCGAAUCAGCCCGCUGCAGACAGGCAGGCCUGUGCACACCCUACCGAGGUCCUGAGUCACGCAGAAGACGCCGAAUCACCCCACUGCAGACAGGCAGCCACCUGAUUCCACAUUACCAAGGCGCAGAGGACACCAGACCACCAGACCAAGGAAGAACCUGGUAUCUAACUCCAGAAGGAGAGGUGAACAACCCAGAACUCCGUAACGUUAAAGUUGAGAAGCCACUUUUAGACAUAGGCUACGUAACAUUUUGGCAUAGCCAGCCUGGAGGAAAGCUCAGGCUGGAGAUACAGCAGACUGUUCUCAAGGUGUGCAGGGAGCUGUUUGCUACUUUUCUAGCCAUGGGGAAUGAAGGAAGGGAAUGUACACUUUUGUCUUUCUAGCUGCUGCUGUUCACUCUGUAGGUCCCAAGACAAGCAGAUGGGAGAUCUAUUGGAUCUCACCACCAACAGAUUGACAUUGACCCUAGGCCACACUCUCAAUGAGUGGGAAAGUUUUGAUGAUCCUGACAAUCUAAAACAGGAGCAGCUCGGGCUGGGGAUUUAGGUCAGUGGGGCUGCAGCUGCCUUGCAAGCACAAGGUCCUGAGUUCUAUCCCCAGUACCAAAAAAUAAAAUAAAAUAGGAGCAGCUUAUCUAUUAUUGCAAUACAGUAUGAACUGGGAGGUGUUGAGCGAUUGAUACAGGAUGGUACUUUAAAUUAUGAGACUAUUCUCCAGUUAUAGUAUUUCUGCU